GACGUAGGUGGCGAACGUUAUCCGGAAUUAUUGGGCGUAAAGGGCGCGUAGGCGGUGCGGUAAGUCUGUAGUGAAAUCUCUGGGCUCAACUCAGAGUCUGCUAUAGAAACUGCCGUGCUUGAGUGUGGGAGAGGUGAGUGGAAUUCCCGGUGUAGCGGUGAAAUGCGUAGAUAUCAAGUGGAACACCAGUGGCGAAGGCGAGUCUCUGGACAUUUCCUGACGCUGAGGCACGAAAGCCAGGGGAGCAAACGGG
rnacentral:rRNA from 1 species